GACGAACGCUGGCGGCGUGCUUAACACAUGCAAGUCGAACGAUGAAGCCCAGCUUGCUGGGUGGAUUAGUGGCGAACGGGUGAGUAACACGUGGGCAACCUGCCCCAAACUCUGGGAUAACUCCUCGAAAGAGGUGCUAAUACCGGAUACGAACUAGACAGACAUCUGUACUAGUUGGAAAGUUUUUCGGUUUGGGAUGGGCCCGCGGCCUAUCAGCUUGUUGGUGAGGUAACGGCUCACCAAGGCUACGACGGGUAACCGGCCUGAGAGGGGGACCUGUCAGACUGGGACUGAGACACGGCCCAGACUCCUACGGGAGGCAGCAGUGGGGAAGAUUGCGCAAUGGGCGAAAGCCUGACGCAGCGACGCCGCGUGAGGGAUGAAGGUCUUCGGAUCGUAAACCUCUUUCAGUAGGGACGAAGCGAAAGUGACGGUACCUAAAGAAGAAGCACCGGCUAACUACGUGCCAGCAGCCGCCGUAA
rnacentral:rRNA from 1 species